ensembl:lncRNA LINC02609 long intergenic non-protein coding RNA 2609
GACACGCCGCCCACCGCAGCCCCAGCCUCUCGCGUGGGGCCUCUGCCCGCACACACGCAGCCAGGCACUGUAAGCAUCUUCACUUUUUGUUUUUUGCUGAUGUUGAUUUAGUUGCUAAUUGGUGACAGAAAUUGUCAAAUAGGUGGCAGAUAGCGACUGCGGAAACUUCCGUUGAAGGAGGCUUCUAAUGUGAGGAAAAACACGGAAUGACAAGUGUGGGAAAGAGCAAGCACUAAAUUACUGUCAGAAAAAUAAACGGAGUAGCACAGUGCUGCUCGGUGAUUUACGGGGGCAAUUAGUCACCACCCCACGGCGCUGCUGAGGACAGCACGGCAGCAGACAAGUCAGGCCCAUGAGGAAGAAGAGGCUUUGCACUGCUCUCCAGACAACUUUUCAAACAACAAGAGAGGAUAUUUGAGCACAUUAGGUUUUGUGUCUUCAUUCUGGGUACCUACUCUUCAUAUUAUUCUACCAACUUAAUACAUAAACAUAUUUUUAG